rnacentral:rRNA from 1 species
UACGGGGGGAGCAAGCGUUGUUCGGAUUUACUGGGCGUAAAGGGCGCGUAGGCGGCCAGCGCAAGUCAGUUGUGAAAUCUCCGAGCUUAACUCGGAAAGGUCAACUGAUACUGCGCGGCUAGAGUGCAGAAGGGGCAACUGGAAUUCUCGGUGUAGCGGUGAAAUGCGUAGAUAUCGAGAGGAACACCUGCGGCGAAGGCGGCCAGCUGGGCCGGUUCUGACGCUGAGGCGCGAAAGCGUGGGGAGCAAACAGG